rnacentral:rRNA from 1 species
AUACGUAGGUGACAAGCGUUAUCCGGAUUUACUGGGCGUAAAGGGCGUGUAGGCGGUCUUGCAAGUCAGAAGUGAAAUUCCUGAGCUCAACUCGGGCGCUGCUUCUGAAACUGCAGGACUUGAGUGCUGGAGGGGAUAGCGGAAUUCCUAGUGGAGCGGUAAAAUGCGCAGAUAUUAGGAAGAACACCGGUGGCGAAGGCGGCUAUCUGGACAGUAACUGACGCUGAGGCGCGAAAGCGUGGGGAGCAAACAGGAUUAGAUACCCUGGUAGUCCACGCCGUAAACGAUGGAUACUAGGUGUGGGGGGACUGACCCCCUCCGUGCCGGAGUUAACACAUUAAGUAUUCCACCUGGGGAGUACGGCCGCAAGGUUGAAACUCAAAUGAAUUGACGGGG